UCCAAACUAGGGCACUACGUAGUGAAUAGGCUGUAAUUUGUUUGUGGUUAACAUCUUACUUAUGAAACGUCGUAUUUGUGUUUAUAGAAACUCUCGGCUCUGUGUCACAACAUGGUCGAAGCAGUGAAUCAGAAGUCCAUCAUCUCUGCCCACAACCUCUGUAAGUAGAAGGCUAAUUGUGCGUCGCCCCACGGACCUCCCAGGCGCGGCCGGUUAUGACAGAGCCUGGGCGCAAACCCAGAGUCUCUGGUGGCACAGCUGGUGCUGCAGUACAGCGCCCUUAACCACUGCGCCACCCAGGCCUCUAUAACAGAAUUUUAACAGUAUCUUCAAUAUAGAGUGAAAACCCAUCAUCAUUUCUUAGGUGACUUUUAACUUACUCAUUCUAUACUUUAUGUGUAUGGUAUAAAGAGUGUUUUGUUCAUGUCUUGUAGUUGCUGAGGGACCAGGGCUGGUUGACUCUGUCUCCUCCACCUUGGUGACCUGUAGCAGUCUGAUUGGACAAGCUGGCUCCCUUCAGUCCAUCACCCAGCAACUGUCUGAAAUAGAACAGAGGCUACUGAAGGAGCAUUUUAAAGGAACUGUGAGUUUAGAUGUAUAUUCAUUCUGCCACAUGCAUUAUUAGUCACUUGUUAAGUCAAGUAAACGAGAAGAUCUAGGUAUCAAUAUCAAAUAUAACUGUCAUUCACGUCUACUGGAAAUACAAUCUGAAUGUGGCCCGGGCCCAGUCUGAACAAAGUUUGAAUGGGUCUUGUGUAUUGAUUGUUCAUGCCAUGCUCUCCACAUAGAUCACCACUGAGGACCUACACACCAUCAUACACAGUGUGGUGGUGACCGUAGUGGAGGAGGUCAACG
rnacentral:lncRNA from 1 species